AACGAACGCUGGCGGCAGGCUUAACACAUGCAAGUCGAGCGAGACCUUCGGGUCUAGCGGCGGACGGGUGAGUAACACGUGGGAACGUGCCCUUCUCUACGGAAUAGCCCCGGGAAACUGGGAGUAAUACCGUAUACGCCCUUUGGGGGAAAGAUUUAUCGGAGAAGGAUCGGCCCGCGUUGGAUUAGGUAGUUGGUGGGGUAAUGGCCCACCAAGCCGACGAUCCAUAGCUGGUUUGAGAGGAUGAUCAGCCACACUGGGACUGAGACACGGCCCAGACUCCUACGGGAGGCAGCAGUGGGGAAUCUUAGACAAUGGGGGCAACCCUGAUCUAGCCAUGCCGCGUGAGUGAUGAAGGCCUUAGGGUUGUAAAGCUCUUUCAGCUGGGAAGAUAAUGACGGUACCAGCAGAAGAAGCCCCGGCUAACUCCGUG
rnacentral:rRNA from 1 species